CAUACAAAAUGAGAAAGCGUCUAGUAAAGCGCUGUCCCAGUCUAAUCGAAUCGGUCCUCUUGUUUUAUUAUAUUUGGAUGGGAACGGAAAUGUUCGAACAGCAGGAAGUCCUGGAUUGCGCGAAGAUGUGUUGGACGUUGCCAG